rnacentral:miRNA from 1 species
AUAGAUCAUGUGUUUUUCUCCUGCAUUCUCUUAAUAUAUUAUAUUAGUGUGUGUGUGUGUGUGUGUGUGUGUGUAUAUAUAUAUAUAUAUAUACAUAUAACUGAUAUGUUGCAGACAUGUAUGC